rnacentral:pre_miRNA from 11 species
AACCUUAUAGAAAAAUCUAUUUUCCCGUGCGGUCGGGUUAAGUGGACCGCACGGGAUAAUCGAUUAUCCUGUGCGGUC